AUGCCCAAUGAUUAUAACAAGACGCGUUAUUACGAGGAUCAACACUGGAACUCCUCUUCUAUCUUCCUUCUGUUCACUUUUUUCUCUCCAGGUUAUCUAUCUUUUUACGUUCUUGCUUUUUCUUCCCUCCACCCUCUUGGAGUUUCACUUCUCUUCCUCUCUGCCCCCCAUCCUUCUUGGAGUUUCCAGUGUCCUAUGAGCAAGAUUAUGAGAUAUGAGGGCGU